AUUCCGAGUGCGGUUACGUAUAGAGCUGUGUAUAGAACCGUUAGUUGAAGGUUGUUUGCUGGUUCGCAAGAAUUGUGAAUGUUUUGUGCGCAUUUUGCUGGACGCAGGCUUGGAAUUAUGGUGGAUAUUGUCAAUAUUGUAACACCCUGUUGAGGAAAAAAAUACCUAAGAUCAUUGCAGAAGAUGUCCAACCACCGGUUUUGGACCUAUCUGCAGGAUGACCCUUGGAAUCCCAUGCAUCUUGAAUGGUUUGCCCCUGAGUUUGAGGAAGAGUACUCAUUUGGAUAUGAGUGGUGAAGUGAAAAUGGUACCAAUAAGAGGAAGUAAUGAGGUAUGUAUGGGCACAAAGGAGCUAAAGGUCUUGUGGCUUUUUAUAUACAACUUAGAAAGAGAAAAUUGCUGACUAAGAUUUUAAAUAUGUUAACUAUACAGCCUAUGCCGAACCAAUCAAUCACUUAAAAAUAUUUAUGAAAUUUUGGAA